rnacentral:tRNA from 1 species
UCGACUGUAGCUCAGUGGUAGAGUGUCCGACUGGUGUGCGGAAGGUCUCAACUCCUGUUGGG